AGGGAUGUAGUUNGGUUGGUAGAGUGCUUGCCUGGCAUGCAAGAAGUCCUGGGUUUGAUCCCAAGCACCUCAC
rnacentral:tRNA from 1 species